rnacentral:rRNA from 1 species
AGUUCUCGUUGAUGAUCGGUGCUUGCACCGAGAUUCAACAUGGAACGAGUGGCGGACGGGUGAGUAACACGUGGGUAACCUGCCCUUAAGUGGGGGAUAACAUUUGGAAACAGAUGCUAAUACCGCAUAGAUCCAAGAACCGCAUGGUUCUUGGCUGAAAGAUGGCGUAAGCUAUCGCUUUUGGAUGGACCCGCGGCGUAUUAGCUAGUUGGUGAGGUAAUGGCUCACCAAGGCGAUGAUACGUAGCCGAACUGAGAGGUUGAUCGGCCACAUUGGGACUGAGACACGGCCCAAACUCCUACGGGAGGCAGCAGUAGGGAAUCUUCCACAAUGGACGCAAGUCUGAUGGAGCAACGCCGCGUGAGUGAAGAAGGCUUUCGGGUCGUAAAACUCUGUUGUUGGAGAAGAAUGGUCGGCAGAGUAACUGUUGUCGGCGUGACGGUAUCCAACCAGAAAGCCACGGCUAACUACGUGCCAGCAGCCGCGGUAAUACGUAGGUGGCAAGCGUUAUCCGGAUUUAUUGGGCGUAAAGCGAGCGCAGGCGGUUUUUUAAGUCUGAUGUGAAAGCCCUCGGCUUAACCGAGGAAGCGCAUCGGAAACUGGGAAACCUGAGUGCAGAAGAGGACAGUGGAACUCCAUGUGUAGCGGUGAAAUGCGUAGAUAUAUGGAAGAACACCAGUGGCGAAGGCGGCUGUCUGGUCUGUAACUGACGCUGAGGCUCGAAAGCAUGGGUAGCGAACAGGAUUAGAUACCCUGGUAGUCCAUGCCGUAAACGAUGAAUGCUA